CUGGCGGCGUGCUUAACACAUGCAAGUCGAACGAAGCACUUUAUUACAAUUUCUUCGGAAUGACGAUUUAGUGACUGAGUGGCGGACGGGUGAGUAACGCGUGGGUAACCUGCCUUAUACAGGGGGAUAACAGUUAGAAAUGACUGGUAAUACCGCAUAAGCGCACAGUACCGCAUGGUACAGUGUGAAAAACUCCGGUGGUAUAAGAUGGACCCGCGUCUGAUUAGCUAGUUGGUGAGGUAACGGCUCACCAAGGCGACGAUCAGUAGCCGACCUGAGAGGGUGACCGGCCACAUUGGGACUGAGACACGGCCCAGACUCCUACGGGAGGCAGCAGUGGGGAAUAUUGCACAAUGGAGGAAACUCUGAUGCAGCGACGCCGCGUGAGUGAAGAAGUAUUUCGGUAUGUAAAGCUCUAUCAGCAGGGAAGAUAAUGACGGUACCUGACUAAGAAGCACCGGCUAAAUACGUG
rnacentral:rRNA from 1 species